AUGGAUGAGAACAGGGUGAUUCCUGACAUCAGUAAUCACUUUCAGAGCCUCUGUUAUAGCACUGCUAGACAUAGCUGAUGGCUCCUUAGUGCCAUCAAUACCAAACUGGAAAAGCUUGAUACUGUUAAUUGUCAGAAACUCCAAAUUCUCUUCAGGAUAAGGCUCAGGGCACAAAUAUAUGAUGGAUCGAAGAUUAAGGGAUUUAAGAAAGGGGAAAUUAGACGGUUGAGGCAAUCCAGAUCUGUAAAUGCAGUUAUCUUCAACAGCAGAAAAAUUAUUCGGCGACACCAACAUCACACCAUCAUCAUCACCCUCUUUUUCCAUUAUCACACACAUUUUUCUAACUUCUUUUUUUUUAAAAAAAAAAA
rnacentral:misc_RNA from 1 species